rnacentral:rRNA from 1 species
GACGAACGCUGGCGGCGUGCCUAACAUAUGCAAGUCGAGCGAAGUGAGUACUACGGUACGAACUUAGCGGCGGACGGGUGAGUAACGCGUGGACAAUCUACCCUGUAGACUGGGAUAACACCUCGAAAGGGGUGCUAAUACCGGAUAAUGUCGAGAAGCGGCAUCGCUUUUCGAAGAAAGGAGGAAAUCCGCUAUAGGAGGAGUCCGCGUCCCAUUAGCUAGUUGGUGAGGGUAACGGACCACCAAGGCGACGAUGGGUAGACGGCCUGGGAGGGUGAACGGCCACACUGGAACUGAGACACGGCCAGACUCCUACGGGAGGCAGCAGUGGGGAAUAUUGUGCAAGGGGGGAUACCCUGACACAGCAACUCCGCGUGAGCGAAGAAGGCCUUCGGGUUGUAACGCUCAAUAGUAUGGGAAGAUAAUGACGGUACCAUACGAAAGCCCCGGCUAACUACGUGCCAGCCGCCGCGGUAA